UUGAAUGCCAAAGAUAGAGUUCAGAGAGGCUGAAGUCCUGACUCCCAGUGGUGGGGUAGGCAGGCAACGGCAGGCCAGAGUCUGCUGAGCGGAGGGAGCAGACAGCUUUUGCCUCAGCAGCUGGAACAUUGCUCAACAGCAACAAUCACAAUGUGUCAACACAAGAUAAGUAAAGGCUGCCACAGGAAGGCUGCUGUAAUGGCAGGGAGCUGGACAGCUGUGGCAGAACAAACAGAUUAGCAGCACAAUGUCAAGGAUAUUGACAGAAUCUGCAGGGACACAUCUAAGGGUACAAGGCUCAGCUUCUGCCUGUAUGUGGCUCAUGCAGUCAGAUCUUUAAAUAGUGUCUCACUAGCUCAACCACUCUUCUCAUUUAAUGGAUUGUCAGGCAGAGGAUGUGCUCACUUUCACUGCAGAUAAACAAAGUCUAUGAAGGGCAGGAAUGAAUAAAAGAAGAGGAAAAGGAAAUGCAGCAGCCCUUAUCACAGCCCAACCAACAGAGAAACUAUCAGCUCGGAACUAAAAGACAGUGAAUAUGGCUAUCAAUUGAAAA